AAGUAUAGUUGGGGUAGUGCAGCACUAAAUUGGCUAUGUAGACACCUCUAUAAGGCAUCAGAGAAGAAAGCCAAGCAAAUAUGCUAGGUUUCCACACGUGUCCUAUGAUGAGGCAUCCACGCUAGGCACUGCCAUCAAGUCCACUUACUGUUAGAUGGAAAGGGGCUAAGUGCACAACUGAACAUGCAACGCACGUCCUACACGCCUAUCGUAUGUCACUUGCUUUGCUACGGCCAAAUUAGAUAUUGUGCCUUUGUUGGGGACCGCUUUGGCAUGUAGUUGUUGUACUUACAAUUGUAAGCCAACCAUGAAUAAACAUUUUUUAUUUUGGAGUUAAAACUUUUUAGAGUAGAGAUACAUCUUUGUAUUAUGUAUUGUUGACAUUCUUUACACAUUUUUUCUAAUUAUAUUGUUAAUACUGUUGUUUGCAUUUGUUGGAUCAUUGCAAAUUAUGUGGGAGCCGUAUAAGUCUAUGAUGGGUUCCCUGCUGGCAUAUUGUACGGCAGGCCAAUACAUAUGGAGUUCUAUCGUGCCGCUCAUAUAUUUUUGGGUGGUUGAAGGCCAUCACCCCGAACAUGUUCUCCUACAGUUUCGGAUGAAGCAAGGUAUAUCGGUCGAUGUCGAUACUUAAACUGAUCUUCACAAAAUAACACUCUAGAGCAAGCAAGAAAGAGACUGGGCUGUAGAACAUGCCCCACAUAUUGCUAAAUGGGUUGCGCAUGCUGCAAUUGUCGAUGCACCACUCUUUGAUGGGGAGAUGAGCUACAAUGACGAGUAUAUGAUGUGGUUUCGUCCCCACACUCAACGCUUUAUUACAAAAGAGACCUCGUACUGGGACACUUUGGCUGAAUCACAUUUGAAGAUUUUGGCAAAGUGCAAACCAGGUUCCGAGAUCCACACCGACUUUAUGUCUACCUUGAAAGCCGUUGAAGAGCUUAGUCGGUUGACCUUGGACGAUGCACGUGUUGUGGGCAACACGAGUGAGCUGACUGCAGGGUGUGGUCGGCGAGUAGGUGGACGUCAAGGGCGUGGAGGCCAUCAAUUUGGUCAGCGUCACACACCUGUGCAUGACCACACCAUGGAGGAGGCAAGUCAGUCAUUAGAUGAGAUGCGUUUGGACAUUGGUUAUGACAUAGGCUGCGAUGCGACUGGUCCAUUGCCAUACAUGUCACACGAUGAUGCGGGUCCAUCCCAUGGGUUUGCCCAUGAGACACAUCUCAGUCCCCAUCCAUGGUCCGCGAUGAUACCUGCCCACCUACAUUCUCUACUACAUCUCUCAUACGUCUCCCCCACGACCCCUAGCACUACCCUUGCUGAUGUACAUGGUAGAGAUGAGAUGAGAUGAGAUUCAUGCCCAUUCCUAGAAAACCCACCCCUGGUGCUGCUCCCUCUGAGUUUGUGCAUACUGAGUUCAUCCAGACAGAGAUAUUCCCAAGCCCCCCACCAGAGGCUUCACACAUUGAGGAGAUGUAGGGUGAACGAAUUGAGCGGGUUGAAGAUCGGCCGCAAAGGUCGCAACGGACUUGGACACAUCCUCCUAACUAUGGGACUGGAGAUGGCAAUGUGAGACCAGUCAAGGAACUAGUGAGGAGAAGAAAACGGGGAUGAUUUUUGAUAUCAAAUGGCAUGGGUGGAACCAAAAAUGGUGCUCUACAAGCGGUGUGUCUCUCUUAAGAAUACGAGAACAUUGUCCCUUCAAGGAUCCUGCUCAAAUUUCCCCCCACUAGAAUAUCGUCCCUAAUCUCGCCUGUAUCUUAGGAUGCUUGCUUAUGCAAUCUUUGUUUUCCAGUAGCAGUACCAGUAAACUAGCUAGCUUGUGCAUCCUUUCAACAGUGACAGAAGUUUCAGCGUGUGUUGUGUGUCACAGGCUCACAGCAGCAUUGUUUUCAACAUCUUGAGUACAGUCCUUUGAUUAUUUCCAUUGCCUCCUAUUCCUUAAUUUAAUUGCAAGGUUCUACAGUCUCUCGGCAGAAACCAAAAAAAUCCUCUUGUUUAGCAUUAGUCUGGCCUUCCUUUUGAGUCCCCAUGUUGCAUUCUGCUAUCUUUCCUAAGCUCUUGUAGUGGAGUUCAUGCAGGUCAGACCUGAAGUGAUGCUGGAAAGCUUCUUAAAAUAGUAAACUGCGUGCUUUUGAAGAAAAUUAUGAUACACGAGGUGAAGGUUAGGAAAUGAGUUGUAAGAGAUUGAUGUGAAAAUGGAAGAUUUAAGUAAACAAGCAAUGGCAAAAUUGCAGAGACAAAGAUAAGGAAGAAGGAAAAGAUAGUCCAUAGGUGUUUCAUCCCAUUAAAACUAAAUGAUCUGCUUUGAUCAUUACUACUAGUAAAAUAAUGCUAAUUUUUAUCCCAUUCUUAUUUCUGAUAGGAUAUUAUUUGGGUUAUUUAAUGGUAAAUUUUAUUUUUCUAUCAUUUAUGUUUUCUGUAUACUUUUGAGCAGGGUGAAGUCUUCACUGGUUUUAGUAAGUUAUCUCCACUUGUUAGGGUGGGAAGUUGCCUAUCUUAAUUGAAAGAUUUAGCACAAAUGCAUUCUGGACAAAUCAAUAAUAUCUCUAUGUUUGAUAAUCUUAUUGUUAUCAUUUACCCCCUUCUGUUUGGAACUUGUCUUUUUGUGAUUUUCUUUUGGAUAAUGUCAGUUUCUAGCAGCUAUGUUGAUUAUUUCAAUAUUGUGGUUGCUGUCCUUAUGUUUCCCAGUGCCUUCAUGUUACUCUAUGCACAUGCACUAUCUUUGUUCUCGAACUGAAAGACAUGGUUAAUUUGCUUACUUUUUCUGUUUGAUUGACAGUAUAUAUUGAAGGAAAGUGCCAAGAAUGCCACUCAAAAGGACAAGUCAAAUUUCAUUGUAGUGGCUAGGCGAGAGGAUCAAGCAACUACUUCAAGUGGAAAAGAAAUAUAUGAUGAGAUAGUUUCUGUUUCUGGAAUCCCCCAACAACAAUGUAAUCAAAAGAUUUACCUGAAACUUUUUCGACAUCUGAAGUCAUGUAGGGAAGUCUGUUUCCUUCAAUGAAUAAGAAUGAGGUCAAUGCUCAACUCAGUCAACUAGAAUGAGUUGUGCUUAUAAAAAAAAAGGCUAAUUAAUGGGAAGUUCAUACCUUGAGGCAGUGGAGAAGAAGCUAAAUAAAAGUUAAUUAGUAAGAGCAAAGAUGCAGUGAGAAGCCCAUGGCCAUGAAUGGUUUGUGAAAGCUCCAUACUAUUUCCACAUCACUGGCUUGAGGAGUAUAAGCAGGGCAAUAUUUAUUGACCUUGUGUGCAGGCUACAUAAGUAUCUAGUCUUAGACUUAGUGGCAUAAAUUGAUUACAGCUCCUUUAUGUUCAGUUAUAUUUAAGCAUAUGCAUGGUUUGGUCAAUGAUUCUGUAUUUGUUGGUUGGAUAACUAUGAUUCUGCUGUUAUGAUGGUUUCUAACCCAUCUUUACUUUCUCACUUGGAACAUGUAGAGGAAAAUUAUACUUAAACGUUAAACAUACCCUACUUUACUGUCUCUUGAGAAUUAUAAUAAAAAGAAUUCAAGCAGAUACCGGAAUUGUCUAGAUCAGAAUGUUUGUUGGGAACAUAGUGCGCACUGAUUGAUGGGAUA